rnacentral:lncRNA from 1 species
AAGAAAUAUUUAGAAGGAUUUGAAGCAUCAAGUUCAAAAAGAUGGCAAAAAAUACACGAUCCUUUGUCUUUAUUGCAUUAAAACAGUUUCAAAUAUAGCAACACAAAGAUUUAAGCAGCAUCGGGAGCAUGGCAACUUAAAAAAUUUAGGUAAUGAAUGGACAAUAAUACAUGAACCAGAGCACCUUGACGGCAGUCAAACACUGCAAUUUCAAUCAUGGAUGUGUUCAGUGGUAACAAUAAUUUGAAAGCAACAGAAUAAACUCCAUCUGCCACACAUCAUCAUCCCAAUCAAAACGGUAGUCACUAUGCUCCAUAACAUUAAUGGCAUAGAACUUUUUUUGAAGCUUUUGAUGUAUCGAUUGUACAGGAGACGGCGGAUAAGUUCUCUGAAAUCUUACAAUUGCCAAUAAAAAAGGCUAAAGAACUGCACAUAAAGUUGAUUUUCGGUGAAAUGGAUAAGAUAUGAAACAGAUCAAAAAAUAAGUUAUAUCAUGUUUAAAAAAAAUAAUUAGCGCAAAAAACUUGAUCUCCUACGUCGGCCAUUGUUAAGAACUUAUGCUAAAAUAAAGCAUCACAAACCUUAGGGUGCGGUGUUUUAAAUGUGGGCAGAUUAUAAAUUUAAACAUGUGUUUGCAAAUGUAAAUGACCAAUAUAAGCACGAUUUUGCCAUAAUGCGUGUAUUUUUUUGCCAGCAGUAUCGUGCGAGAAGUACAAUAUCAUAGCAAAAAUGGAAGUGCUAAUUUCGGAAUUUCAAAAGAGAAUUGUUUUGUGGAAUUAGAGCCAUUGUCGAUACAAAGACAGGCGAAGUGCUGAAAACGAAUGGAACGAAGUUACUCAAAAUGUUAGGAUUCCAAAAUGAUGUAGAUCCUUCAUCGUCCCUCGUCGGUCCCUCGAUAAACAUGAUCAUGAACUUUUUCCAACCAUAUAAGGCGCCGAGCGACUGUUCAAAUCUACUGUAGCAAGACUAUAAGUUACGGUAUAUUCCGAUAAUUAAAUAGCCAUCAGAUCUCUACAGAGUAACAGUACCACAUCAAAAGUGGCUAUAAAAAGAAGCAAGCUAUUUUACGGUAGACGAACUUAAAAGGGAUGAAGGUUUACCUUUGCCACUGCAAAGUAUAUGUAUGCUGAGCUUGGCCUUUGCCAAAAAUGCAAAACAUAAGAUGGUUGAAAGAGAUCACAUGCAACGUGACCAGUCAGCUAUGACCAAAAUUGGACGCGAAAAAAUCGAAACAUAUUACCUUUAAAAAUAACCGUUCAAUGGGGCUUCACGGCAAAAAAGAGGCUAUUAUUCCAAUGACUGUGGCCACAUAGAAAGAGUCCAUUGAACACUACGAAUUCUUUGAAUGACUUGCUAAGCUAGCUUCUGCAAAAAUUUGUCAUAUCGUUGCUUUUAAUAGACACGGGAAAUGGGAAGGUGAAGAUAAGAACCUCAUAGCGGUAUCACAACGGGCCUAUUGGCCUAAGUGCGUUAAUUAAUAGCUGUAUCAACUCACCUCAGCAAAGGUUCAUUUUUUUUAUUAAAAAAAGAUCUAAUUUGAAAAUUGUAAU